CCGGCACGGGUGAGUAACACGUAUCCAACCUGCCGUCUACUCUUGGCCAGCCUUCUGAAAGGAAGAUUAAUCCAGGAUGGCAUCAUGAGUUCACAUGUCCGCAUGAUUAAAGGUAUUUUCCGGUAGACGAUGGGGAUGCGUUCCAUUAGAUAGUAGGCGGGGUAACGGCCCACCUAGUCAACGAUGGAUAGGGGUUCUGAGAGGAAGGUCCCCCACAUUGGACUGAGACACGGCCCAA
rnacentral:rRNA from 1 species